GUUACGCUAAUACCGCAUAUUCUGUGAGCAGGAAAGCAGGGGAUCUUCGGACCUUGUGCUUUAGGAGCGGCCGAUGUCGGAUUAGCUAGUUGGUGAGGUAAAAGCUCACCAAGGCGACGAUCCGUAGCGGGUCUGAGAGGAUGAUCCGCCACACUGGGACUGAGACACGGCCCAGACUCCUACGGGAGGCAGCAGUGGGGAAUUUUGGACAAUGGGCGCAAGCCUGAUCCAGCCAUGCCGCGUGAGUGAAGAAGGCCUUCGGGUUGUAAAGCUCUUUCGGCGGGGAAGAAAUUGCACUCUCUAAUACAGGGUGUAGAUGACGGUACCCGCAUAAGAAGCACCGGCUAACUACGUGCCAGCAGCCGCGGUAAUACGUAGGGUGCGAGCGUUAAUCGGAAUUACUGGGCGUAAAGCGUGCGCAGGCGGUUGUGUAAGUCAGAUGUGAAAUCCCCGGGCUCAACCUGGGAACUGCAUUUUGAGACUGCACGGCUAGAGUGUGACAGAGGG
rnacentral:rRNA from 1 species